AUGAUUGUUCUGAAACUGGAUUUUCGGAAGGCUUUUGACAGUGUCAGUUGGGAUGCCCUUCUCCAAAAUUUUCAAGCAAGGGGUUUUGGGAACCGUUGGAAACACUGGAUCUCCAGCAUUUUCAAGUCAAGCUCCUCUCAAGUCCUUCUCAAUGGCCAGAUUGGGGAGAAGAUACAAUCCAAAUGUGGCCUCAGGCAGGGGGAUGCACUGUCACCU
rnacentral:rRNA from 1 species